rnacentral:lncRNA from 1 species
AACUGAGCCCCAUUUUAAUGUAUAACUGUCCUAAAGCCUACCCUCCCCCCUCCCCUUAACUCGUCUCUCCCACUUCACCCUAUCUUUAGAGACGCCUCCAUAACCCUAGUGCCGCCUUGAUUCUCCGCCUCCUCAGGCCCGUGGCGCUACCUCUAAUAAGCCCCAAAAUAACACCACCAACUCCCUAAAUCUUUAACCCGUUUCCAUGGAAUCACCCUAGAUUCCCUCGAAUCUUAAAUCUGAGUCGAACCCUAAAACUCAAAUCUCUCUAAAUCAUUGAAAUUCAUUAAAUGAUUGAGGUCUAGUUGGAUUUUAUUCGUGUGUUCUUGACAAGAACACACGAUUAAGGUCAAACUCGGCCAAAAAUUUGAAGAUUUGAAGGUUCUUUUCAAUUUUCCGGUAUCCGAGCCACUUUUAAGGUAUUUUUCUUUAUCUUCUGAUAUUUAAUUUUCAUUUGUAGUUCUCUUCUCAUCUUCUUGCGUUUCCUUCUUUUAUUUUUUUAUUUUAUUUUUCCGUUCUUUCAUUUCUUUCAAAUCAUUUGUGUUUGCAUAUUUAGCCUUAUAGUCAAUUUAGUUAGUUUGUUUUGAUUUAAUAACUUAGUUAAUUCCAUAUUAAUCAGUCAAUUAGUUAAGGUUUUAGUUUUUGAAAUCAUUUCAAUGUUUUCUUCUGUUUGUCAUAGAUUACUGAUUUGGUAUGGUUCAUUUUUGCUGUUUAGGAUUUGAAGCCAUUUUAGAGCCCACGUCAAGGGGUUGGUUUAGGUUAUUAGGUCAGAAUUGAGCCUAUGUCUGGUUUAACCAUUGGGUCAACUUGACCCUUGGGUUCUUGGGGGUAAAACCAGGGGUCCUAAUGGGUAAUUUAGGAAUUGUAGGUGGGGGAAUCUCUUGUAACUGAAUAGGGAAUCUUCCUAGAAGCUGGGAUUGAGACUUAUAUGAAAUACAGAUCUUUAAACUAAGGACAUGAGAGCAAAAAUAAAAAUUUCUAAAGGAUAUAAGUGCAAAACUGAAUGCAUUUUCUACUGCCCUAAGGCUUGGCUAUAAAGGCGCUCUUUCUUCACUCACAAGAGAGAUGUUAGAAAUUAAAAGUUCUGAAAAAACUGAAUUUUUUUGAGUUCUUUCUUUUAAGAAAAAAUGCUGAAAAUAGUUUGGAUUUCUACUUGAUUUUGAGUUCUGAUUCCGUUGUGAUAAGUUAGAAUUUUAAAGGUUUAGUAAAAAAUCGUGCAUUUGGGGUUUUGAAUAUGCGAAUUGGUUCGAGAAUCUUAUGCUUGAUUUGCUGACCUUGGCACUGUUUCAUUGUUGUUUCUAAGUUGGUUUCUGCUGUUGCUUAUUGCUGAUUCUUUACUUCUUUGUCCCUUUUAUUUCCAGGUAUUUCCUUGAACUAUUGAGUGGCCAAUGAAGCUACUAAUGUGGUUGCUGUGUAUGGAAAAUAGGGAGUCUGUUGAAAUAUAAUAAGUUUGUUUAUGUUUGAAGAUCAUUUUCCGUGUGUUGAUUUAAGUUAUCCAGUUUUGUCUAUUUCCCCUAUUUCCUUCUUAAAUGUCCUAGAUAUGUAAUAUCAUGCUCAUUUCAUGUUUGAGUUUGUGCGAAACUCUAAAGUGUGGUUCUGAUUCUCUCAUUUAUGAAGUGUUCUAUGUGUAAAUCCUAAACCAUACAUGUUACUUUAGCUCUUCUCUUGCUACUAAUAGGUUGUUGAAAUGAAUCUGUGAUUUUAAGAAUCUUAGUAUGUCUUUUGAGAUUCAAGUGAAUAAUGUACUAAUCCAUGUAUCAUGUUAUUGUUGAUAGUGAAAGAGAGUUAAAAUGAGUUUAAGUUUCAUACAUUCAGUUGAAAUUAGCUUAGAAAUUGAAUGCAAGCAUGAACAUCUGUUUAGUUUGGUUAUCAGCGCCAAUUGAGGAUAAGAAUGUAUUGUUUUAGUAAGGUGAGCUAAUAGCCUGCAAAGCUUUUGUGUUGGUAGAGACUCGAUAUUGAGUCCUGCUCUUUCACCUUUUCUUUU